ACACGACCUCUGUCGAUCGUGUUCCGUCGCUGCCGUGACACACGGGGGUUUGAAUCGUGCGCGCGCUACGCGUGAUACUACUUCGGUGACCGGAUGCAACGCGUGUCGGUAAACGGGUGCAGUGUAACUUCGGUGACGUCGAGAAGAUUGGCCGCGGGGGUACAAUGGAUCGGUCGCGUGGCGAACGACGGACAAUGAGACCCGUAGCCAGGAAGGCUUGACGGGUCUGCACGCGGACCGCGAGAAUAUGCGGUAACACGCGACCCCGAUCCACCGAACUUUUCAACAAGUUGCAACGAUCGACUUGCCACCCCCUUGGCUAAGGGCGAGUGUCUGUGUUUGUGUGCGUGCGUGUCUCACGGGACCUGCAGUGAAUUGUUCCGCAGAAGUUCUCCGUGACUCUCGCGUGGAAAUUGUUCGAGAUUCGCUGCUCCUUUUUGCGCGGACUGGAACAGGUUGCGAAAAAUCGUGGGAUCGCGGGCAAACGAGCGAGGAAGAAAGUGCCGGCAAUCGAGGGACGAGAAGGCAAAAAAGUGCUUUCGAGAGAGGCUGGCGCGAGUUAACUCGGUGAAAGGGGAGCUGGAGGAGCUCCAUUGGAAAGAGAAAAAAAGAGAAGCUCGAACCGCGCGAGGGUGGCCUGCGGUUCUACCGACGAAACGAAGAUCCACGAGGAACAAGUGCGAUCGAACGGACAAGGGUUAGAGUUCGGGUGUCGUUGCUGUGACGUGACGUGACGUGACGGUGACGUGACAUCGACGUAAAGCCGUCGAGAUGCCCAGGGAUGAGAUGGCCGCCUACCUUCAUACCGUGCUAUCGCUCGUUCUACUCCUUGCUGCCUCCACACUUUGCCGUGGCAGAAUUACCAACCAGGAGAU